UACAGAGGUGGCAAGCGUUGUUCGGAAUUACUGGGCGUAAAGGGCGCGUAGGCGGCCUUCUAAGUCAGACGUGAAAUCCCCCGGCUUAACCUGGGAACUGCGUCUGAUACUGGGAGGCUUGAGUAUGGGAGAGGGAUGUAGAAUUCCAGGUGUAGCGGUGAAAUGCGUAGAUAUCAGGAGGAACACCGGUGGCGAAGGCGGCUAUCUGGACAGAAACUGACGCUGAGGCGCGAAAGCUAGGGGAGCAAACAGG
rnacentral:rRNA from 1 species